CCAGUGGAGAGGUGAAAUUCCUAGAUAUUCCGAAGAACACCAGUGGCGAAGGCGGCUCACUGGACUGGUAUUGACGCUGAGGUGCCAAAGCCUGGGGAACAAACAGGAUUAAAUACCCUGGUAAUCCACGCCGUAAACGAUGAUAACUAGCUGUCCGGGCACUUGGUGCUUGGGUGGCGCAGCUAACGCAUUAAGUUAUCCGCCUGGGGAGUACGGUCGCAAGAUUAAAACUCAAAGGAAUUGACGGGGGCCUGCACAAGCGGUGGAGCAUGUGGUUUAAUUCGAAGCAACGCGCAAAACCUUACCAGCGUUUGACAUGUCCGGACGAUUUCCAGAGAUGGAUUUCUUCCCUUCGGGGACUGGAACACAGGUGCUGCAUGGCUGUCGUCAGCUCAUGUCGUGAGAUGUUGGGUUAAGUCCCGCAACGAGCGCAACCCUCGCCUUUAGUUACCAUCAUUUAGUUGGGUACUCUAAAGGAACCGCCGGUGAUAAGCCGGAGGAGGGUGGGGAUGACGUCAAGUCCUCAUGGCCCUUACGCGCUGGGCUACACACGUGCUACGAUGGCAACUACAGUGGGCAGCACUCCCGCGAGGGUGAGCUCAUCUCCAAAAGUUGUCUCACUUCGGAUUGUUCUCUGCAACUCGAGAGCAUGAAGGCGGAAUCGCUAGUAAUGGCAGAUCAGCAUGCCGCGGUGAAUACGUUCCCAGGUCUUGUACACACCGCCCGUCACACGAUGGGAGUUCGGUUCACCCGA
rnacentral:rRNA from 1 species